AACGAACGCUGGCGGCAUGCCUAACACAUGCAAGUCGAACGAGACCUCCGGGACUAGUUGCGCAUGGGUGCGGAACGCGGGGGAAGCUGCCCGUAGGUUCGGAAUAACUCCCUUAAAGGGGUGCUAAUACAGGAUAAUGUAUUCUGACAAAAGAUUUAUCGCCUUUGGAUGGGCAGGGGUUGGAUUAGCUAGUUGGGGGGGUAAAAGCCCACGAAGGAGUCGAUCCGUAGCUGGUCUGAGGGGAAGAUCGGCCACACUGGAACUGAGACACGGUCCAGACUCCUACGGGAGGCAGCAGUGGGGAAUAUUGGACAAUGGGCGCAAGCCUGAUCCAGCCAUACCGCGUGGGUGAAGAAGGCCUUCGGGUUGUAAAGCCCUUUUGUUGGGAAAGAAAAGCAGCAGGUUAAUACCCCGCUGUUCUGACGGUACCCAAAGAAUAAGCACCGGCUAACUUCGUG
rnacentral:rRNA from 1 species